rnacentral:snRNA from 1 species
AUGGUCACUUUACAACAUAUAUACUAAAACUAGAACAAUACCAAGAAUAUUGGCACGGCCCCUACACGAGAAUUACAUGCAAAUUCCUGAAAUGUUAAAUUAAAAA